AGAACUUCUUUUGCUUCUGACUCCCUGUGUGUUUAAAAAGAAAACACACAGCGAAACCAUUUACACCCAUGUCAGGUGCAUGGGUAGCACCUUCAGGCUUCAGUAACGACAGAAAAAAAAACAAGAAAACUAAACACACAGCCAUGACCUUAAAACAUAAAGUUGUUCAACCCUUGCUUUUUGCCAGACUAUCAGGUUGUCUGUGCAGGUUGCUGAGUGCGUGCACAUGUUGCUGCAUCCAUGCACAACCGUACUGCUAUGUACUUACUGACAAUGGCUGCAGCAACAAGACACACAGACUCUAAGCAUGCCAAAAAUGAGGACAUACCAACUGUUCAGAGAAUUCCCACAUCACCAAAUCUGCAAAACUGUGCUAUUUCUUCACCUGCACACCCAUACUUGACAUCUCAUAAAUGUAUUUUGUAAGAGUGCAAGUACAUAAUAGCCAGAUGGUAAAUUUUCAUACAUAGAUAUAAUUAAACACCAAUGUCGAGAUGAUUUCGAACUUCCAACAACACAGAAUGCUUCCAUUUAUCAAUCAUCACUGGUAAUAGCCCUUUCCACACAAUUAUGUACACAAUAAACAGUAGUUAUAGACAUUUUAAAGAUAGUGCUAUUCCAAUUUGAAAAUUGAAUUGUAGCAUGAAGAAAAUGAUAUACUAUCAAAGUAUCAAUAGAAAAGUAUCCAGCAAAGGAUAGACCUAAAACUCGUUGGAAAUACUCUAGCUAGUCUUUUAAUUUAUUUUAACCAGUGAAACAAAAGGGAAAUGAAGAGAAAGAGAGAGGUAGUGUACCUAGAUCUUAGAUUCUUCUGUGAUAUAGCUAAGAGAGAGGCAGCUGAUCUAUUAACCUGCACCAUAUGUUAAAAAAUUAAAAUCUUUAAGCAAUUCACACAUCAACUGACUGACAAAUCUUAGAGAGGAAAAGGUUCGAGUCUAUA
rnacentral:lncRNA from 1 species